rnacentral:rRNA from 4 species
GACGAGGCACUACGGUGCUGAAGCAACAAAUGCCCUGCUUCCAGGAAAAGCCUCUAAGCAUCAGGUAACAUCAAAUCGUACCCCAAACCGACACAGGUGGUCAGGUAGAGAAUACCAAGGCGCUUGAGAGAACUCGGGUGAAGGAACUAGGCAAAAUGGUGCCGUAACUUCGGGAGAAGGCACGCUGACACGUAGGUGAAGUGAUUUACUCACGGAGCUGAAGUCAGUCGAAGAUACCAGCUGGCUGCAACUGUUUAUUAAAAACACAGCACUGUGCAAACACGAAAGUGGACGUAUACGGUGUGACGCCUGCCCGGUGCCGGAAGGUUAAUUGAUGGGGUCAGCGCAAGCGAAGCUCCUGAUCGAAGCCCCGGUAAACGGCGGCCGUAACUAUAACGGUCCUAAGGUAGCGAAAUUCCUUGUCGGGUAAGUUCCGACCUGCACGAAUGGCGUAAUGAUGGCCAGGCUGUCUCCACCCGAGACUCAGUGAAAUUGAACUCGCUGUGAAGAUGCAGUGUACCCGCGGCAAGACGGAAAGACCCCGUGAACCUUUACUAUAGCUUGACACUGAACAUUGAGCCUUGAUGUGUAGGAUAGGUGGGAGGCUUUGAAGUGUGGACGCCAGUCUGCAUGGAGCCGACCUUGAAAUACCACCCUUUAAUGUUUGAUGUUCUAACGUGGACCCGUAAUCCGGGUUGCGGACAGUGUCUGGUGGGUAGUUUGACUGGGGCGGUCUCCUCCUAAAGAGUAACGGAGGAGCACGAAGGUUGGCUAAUCCUGGUCGGACAUCAGGAGGUUAGUGCAAUGGCAUAAGCCAGCUUGACUGCGAGCGUGACGGCGCGAGCAGGUGCGAAAGCAGGUCAUAGUGAUCCGGUGGUUCUGAAUGGAAGGGCCAUCGCUCAACGGAUAAAAGGUACUCCGGGGAUAACAGGCUGAUACCGCCCAAGAGUUCAUAUCGACGGCGGUGUUUGGCACCUCGAUGUCGGCUCAUCACAUCCUGGGGCUGAAGUAGGUCCCAAGGGUAUGGCUGUUCGCCAUUUAAAGUGGUACGCGAGCUGGGUUUAGAACGUCGUGAGACAGUUCGGUCCCUAUCUGCCGUGGGCGCUGGAGAACUGAGGGGGGCUGCUCCUAGUACGAGAGGACCGGAGUGGACGCAUCACUGGUGUUCGGGUUGUCAUGCCAAUGGCACUGCCCGGUAGCUAAAUGCGGAAGAGAUAAGUGCUGAAAGCAUCUAAGCACGAAACUUGCCCCGAGAUGAGUUCUCCCUGAGACUUAGAGUCUCCUGAAGGAACGUUGAAGACGACGACGUUGAUAGGCCGGGUGUGUAAGCGCAGCGAUGCGUUGAGCUAACCGGUACUAAUGAACCGUGAGGCUUAACCUUACA